CGACGAGCGGCCCCGCAGGGACCGAGCGCUGCUGCUGCAGCUAUCUGUUUGAUCUCGCCAGUAGUGAUAUGCUUGACUCAAAGAUUAAGCCAUGCAGAUGCAAGUACGAGUACUAGUAAAGCAAAACUGCGAAUGGCCUAUAUUAAAUCAGUCUGGGUUUAUUUGAUCUCGUAAGCGAAGUGGAUAACUGUGGUAAUUAUAAAGCUAAUACAAGCGGGUAUGAUUAGGUUAGUUUUCGUCGUCUCUCAGCACUGAUUUUUAAAUUGUAAUAUUUCACUGCGGAAACUCCACGGUGAAUCAUCACGCUGUUCGCGAACAGAGCUUGGCGCGAAACCGAGCCGAUGAGAAAAAGGUACGGGGACUGGAAUGGAGAUACGAAAUUCGAUUGUUUUUGUACUUGUGCUGGGUAUGUUCUCAAAGACACCGACAUUGUAGAACAACUAAAUAGUUCGCCUUUCGAGGUAUGUGAAAUGUGCUGGGAUUGGAAUUUCCUUCGCAUUUGUUCUUUCUGUUUUUCACUGUAUAUGCUGCUGUAAUGCCUGCAAAUGUUCGUCUUCUUCGAAUAAGAGUAAAAAGCAAACUCGAAAUUCAGUAACAACUGGAAAUAUGCCGAUUCCACUAUAUGCCGUACCCCUGCAUGCUGCACAACCUACGUAUAAAUCUUCAUAUCACCGUGGGCAAGUUGUAUAUUCCGUUUGAAAAGGACUAUUCAACAUACCAAAAAGUAAUUCAUCUAUUUCGAAAACGCUGCCUGAAACAUUUUGCUGGUAUUUCUAAUAUAUUUUGUAAAUUAAAUACACAGAAGAUUUGCUGACUAAGCCUCGAAUAGACCUCGACCUGACAUGUAUAUUGCUGUAUACAGUAUUGGAUAUCAUCUUACCUAAUUUUGUAUCAUGCAAUUCGUAUUAAUAAAGCUGAAUCCAAAGCUA